AGCGCAGGCGGGAAGACAAGUUGGAAGUGAAAUCUAUGGGCUCAACCCAUAAACUGCUUUCAAAACUGUUUUUCUUGAGUAGUGCAGAGGUAGAUGGAAUUCCCGGUGUAGCGGUGGAAUGCGUAGAUAUCGGGAGGAACACCAGUGGCGAAGGCGGCUUUCUGGACUGUAACUGACACUGAGGCACGAAAGCGUGGGGAGCAAACA
rnacentral:rRNA from 1 species